UUAUAAGAGACAGCAGCCGCCACGGGAAUACGGAGGAUCCAAGCGUUAUCCGGAAUCAUUGGGUUUAAAGUGUCCGUAGGCGGUCUUGUAAGUCAGUGGUGAAAGCCCAUCGCUCAACGGUGGAACGGCCAUUGAUACUGCAGGACUUGAAUUAUUGGGAAGUAACUAGAAUAUGUAGUGUAGCGGUGAAAUGCUUAGAGAUUACAUGGAAUACCAAUUGCGAAGGCAGGUUACUACCAAUUGAUUGACGCUGAUGGACGAAAGCGUGGGUAGCGAACAGGAUUAGAUACCCCCGUAGUCCCUGUCUCUUAUAC
rnacentral:rRNA from 1 species